AGAUUAAGUUAUUAAGGGCGCACGGUGGAUGCCUUGGCACUAGAAGCCGAUGAAGGACGUUACUAACGACGAUAUGCUUUGGGGAGCUGUAAGUAAGCUUUGAUCCAGAGAUUUCCGAAUGGGGAAACCCAGCAUGAGUUAUGUCAUGUUAUCGAUAUGUGAAUACAUAGCAUAUCAGAAGGCACACCCGGAGAACUGAAACAUCUUAGUACCCGGAGGAAGAGAAAGAAAAUUCGAUUCCCUUAGUAGCGGCGAGCGAAACGGGAAGAGCCCAAACCAAAAAGCUUGCUUGUUGGGGUUGUAGGACACUCUAUACGGAGUUACAAAGGACGACAUUAGACGAAUCAUCUGGAAAGAUGAAUCAAAGAAGGUAAUAAUCCUGUAGUCGAAAAUGUUGUCUCUCUUGAGUGGAUCCUGAGUACGACGGAGCACGUGAAAUUCCGUCGGAAUCUGGGAGGACCAUCUCCUAAGGCUAAAUACUCUCUAGUGACCGAUAGUGAACCAGUACCGUGAGGGAAAGGUGAAAAGCACCCCGGAAGGGGAGUGAAAUAGAACCUGAAAC
rnacentral:rRNA from 1 species